UAGGGAAUCUUCCACAAUGGACGCAAGUCUGAUGGAGCAACGCCGCGUGAGUGAAGAAGGUUUUCGGACCGUAAAGCUCUGUUGUUGGUGAAGAAGGAUAGAGGUAGUAACUGGCCUUUAUUUGACGGUAAUCAACCAGAAAGUCACGGCUAACUACGUGCCAGCAGCCGCGGUAAUACGUAGGUGGCAAGCGUUGUCCGGAUUUAUUGGGCGUAAAGCGAGCGCAGGCGGAAGAAUAAGUCUGAUGUGAAAGCCCUCGGCUUAACCGAGGAAUUGCAUCGGAAACUGUUUUUCUUGAGUGCAGAAGAGGAGAGUAGAACUCCAUGUGUAGCGGUGGAAUGCGUAGAUAUAUGGAAGAAUACCAGUGGCGAAGGCGGCUCUCUGGUCUGCAACUGACGCUGAGGCUCGAAAGCAUGGGUAGCGAACAGGAUUAGAUACCCUUGGUAGUCCAUGCCGUAAACGAUGAGUGCUAAGUGUU
rnacentral:rRNA from 1 species